ensembl:lncRNA
GUAGGACUAUAUGACAACUCUGAAAACAUAAAUGGUAACUCAGAACCAAAACAGAAGAAGCCUUGACCAACUCUAUUCCAUGUACAUCAGUUUAAUUCAUAAAUCAUUUUUACUUAUAUAGUAUCAGGUAACAGUGACAUUCACUUUAUUUUGCGAGAAAAAGACCUUGAAAUAUUAGAGAGAGCGAGGACCAACAAUCCCUUAUAAAUAUGCACUUGCCCGCUGUUGGAAGUAAGAAGUCUUUUAACAGGAUGAGACCUUUGGCAAUACCAGGCACUGUGAAGGGCAGCUGUUUGCUGCGACUGGCUGGGGAGUGAAGGGACCGAAUAUAGUUAAGCAUAGAGGAAAGACACAUGAAACAAACAAGAAGAUGACCAAACGAGAAAUCCUCAAAUUGGAAAGAGAACAAAAGAAAGAAAGAAAUGCAACUCCCCAUUAGGUCAAUAAUUACAUAGUCUCUCACUGUGAUGGCAGUGCACCUGUUAUUCAUUAAUGAAAAACAGUAACAGUGAAAACCACCUCAAACCACUUGUAUUUAGGUGCAUACUCAAAUAGCCAAACACUUGGCUAUAUGUAUAAAAAGAGUCUUGAUCAAGACGGGCUAUGAUUUACACGUGCUACCAGGUCUUACAAGCAGUUGGUGCUUAGCAGAAUCUACUUAAAUAUAUAACCUACAAUAAAUAUAAUAAAUAACAAAGUUGCAGGAAUCAGAGAGAGAUUUAUUAUUAGACUAACCCUGUCCAAGAUGUUCCAGAAGUUAAGUGCUUUUAGGCACAGUCACAUCCGAGUUCCCUUGUCAAGAAGGGAAACGAUAAGAAAAAAAAAGCCCAUGAGAGGAAAUAUUUUUGUCUCAUUGUUCUGAGAUUCAGUAUUUUAUGGGCUGAGCCAUUAAAGUGAGACCACUUGCGUCACUUGAGAGACUUCAAUUAACCCCUGGGGCAGUUUGGUCAGUCACUCAGUGACUCUGGGCACAGUAUCUAAGACGUUGUAGUAGCCAGCUGACAGUGAGCUAAACAGACUCAAUCAAUGCCUGUAAAAGAGAGCUCAAGCGAGAGGGUGUGCUGUCACCCACUGCACUACACUGGUCCACCUUCUGGCACCCUUCAACUUUAAUUUUUUCCAAGAUUCAAAUCACAUUUUUGAUAUUUGCUUUAUAUGAUAGAAAACUGAAGAGAAAACUCUUCAGGGAAGAAUUAGAGCGUUUGUGCGAGCCUCGAGGGCACCGAUCUGGGGUUCAACCUAAUUUGGAAAAAUAGAAAGGUCUUGCUGUGUUAUUAUCAUUUGUGCUGGUGCAUUUGAUACUGGGCUGCCUCUGGGAGUUGAGCAAACAGACGCCAAUGGCAAAAGGCGACAUCUUAAAGAGAUAUUUCAGCUUUGUGGACUGUUUUCACUUAAAAGUUUGGGAGCAUAUAAUCUCCAGCAUUAGCUGCCCAAAGGGAUCCAGUAAGCACACACACAGACACACACUUGAUUUGAUCACAGAAAUUGUUGUAGAUACAUACCUAGCUUCUUGUAGAAUAGUACUGUGAGCAAUGCACUACGGACAACCCUGGUUAGGUUUAACAAUGUCUCUGAUUUAUAAAGAUACUUUUUCAUACUGUCAUCCUGCUUAUAGAGAAAAGUGACUGUGUAUAAUGAAUUGGGACAGAUCAGUGUGGGAAAAUUCAGCCCUCAGUUCAAUAAAUUCAAACAGCUCCAUGUUAUGAAACGUGGGAUAGUGCAGCUUACACACACUGUCUUGCCCCUGUGAGGAUAAUUCAUUAACUUUCCUAAUCCUCUCAUGUGGUGUUGCAGCAGAAAAAAAAAGAUGAAAAGCUCACUGAAUAUCAAAAACAACGAUUUCUGAGCCCCUCACCAUGGUCCUCACACUCUUUCACAAGUGUCUCUGAAAAGGGAUGCUACAUGUUCGACGCAUGCCUGUCCUGUGUUAAUGAGCUUUGAAAUACAUUUUCGUGCACCGCUGUGGGAUGAGAACAGCUCAAUAAAAUAUACACAGGAGGUCGAAACGGUAGGGAAAUAAAAACCCCUUUUUGACAAUGUUAAGCCUCGCAGCUGCUUUGAGGCAACUGAAGGGUUUUUAUCAGCUCUUCAGAUGUUGGAUCAUAGGGCACAGAAAGCUUUCCAAGGGUAAGCAAAGUCAGGGGAGUCAGUACUGUACCAACAUAUGCCUUUGCACACGUGAUUAAAACACAUGUUGUGGUGUCUUCUGUCCAUCUGCACUAUAUAACCCCAAUUUUUUCUUGCACAAUAUAUUUGCUGACCAUGGAAACUAAUGUCUUAUAAUUACUUUAAAGAAUUAAACUGAGCUAAAUGUCGCCAUUCUAAUUUAUACUGUAUACACAGAGGAGAACUGAAAUGGUUUUCAAACAUGUGUGCUACACACUCAUAUGGUAAAGUAUAACUAUACAAUAUCCUUAAGAGUAUUAGUAUUUUAGUUCUUUUUCACAGAACACUGUGUCAGGGUCCUGGGACUGGGCGACCCAGGAUCCCUGGGCAGUCAUGGACCUGCGUAUUAUUAUUAUGUAUUUUUGGUGUCGUUUCCCCUUCUCUGUGCGUGUACAUAUGUGUGUUUCUCUGUGCUGUGUUAGUCUGUGUCCCACUCAUAUGUUUAGGCGAGGUAUGGAUGUGUAUGUCUGCGGGUGUGCCUGGAGGAUGGAGCUCGGCCACCUGCAGGCCUGAGGGGUGUGGCCCUGCGGAGGGACUGGCCACACCCGAAGCCACACACCUGCCGCUGAUCAGGGCUCGUCGGGGGAGCUACUUAGGAGAGUCUUGGAGCUCCCACCGACGCGGGAUCAUUGAGUUAUCUUACCAAGAGGAGGAGUGGUCCGGAGAGGCAGCACGCACGGGGGUGCGGAAACACAACAGCGGGGAGCACGAGCACAUCGGAGGGAAGCACGCGCACGGGGUUCGAGGGAGCAACGGGGAGUUAUUGUGUUUACAGCUUUCCACUGUAAAUAAAGAGCACUGUUUGCAUCGCA